rfam:Flexistipes sinusarabici DSM 4947, complete genome.
CAGCAGGUUGCAAGGUACCUGUCAGGGUAAUUGCCAGUUCACCCUGAAGUCUGACCGGCAGUUUUUUUUUUAGAAAGACUGAAGCCCGGUGACAAAGGCUCUGUAGAGUCGAGACGAGGUGCAGGCCGUAGCAUAU